GUCAUUUUCAUACUGUGGAUUCUCUGCAAGCCUCUGCAGCUCUUCCUUGUUCUCUGCAGGACAAAUAAAGCGGAGGCUUUGUGAGGCUUGGGUGAAGCACUGGAUCCAGCUGGGCAGGAUAAACAGGAUCUUCGAUGAAUUGGGUGGAGAAACGGGGUCAUACAGAAUGUGCUCCUCUGCUUUAUGUAUUUUCGUGGCUCCGCCGACCCCCGGUGAAGCAGUCAGGCCCAGUAUCUG